CAUAUUUCUUUUGACAAAAAAGAUUUGAGUGAUAAGCGUGUUUUUUGUUGUAGUUGCAUUUGUUUUAAAACAAGAUUUUUUUAAAGCAAUGUUUUUUCAGGUGCACUGGCAGAGGAUUGUGAGGUGCGCGUUGGGCGAGAAGGAGUAUGAGAGAGCUGAGUCGUUGUUACAGAGUCAUUUACAUUGUUUAAAAGUUGUUCUUUUGAAAAAAGAAAUAGAUAGAAUAUAAAGGUAGGUAGACAAAAAAAAAGGUUACCUCUGUUAACGAAAGACUCAUUUUUUGAGUGAUGACGCUUAAAAGUUUUAUAUACGGAGGAAUCCGAUGAAGGACGAUGCUCAUGGGAUGUUUCAAAUCGAUAGAUGGAGGAAGGCAUUGUGGACUGGUUUGACUCCGGCGCAUGUGGUGUGGAAGAAAAAUUUGGUAUACAGCAAGGCGGGUUAGUAGAAGGAGUUGCAUAAGGUUUCAGUAAAAGAUCAACAUCUUCUUGUGAUGCGGAUCGGCAAAGAAUAUUGAUUAAAAGGGUUGCAUCAAAAAAAGUAGUUUCUUCUUUUGAUAAUGCUACACUUUUAGGUAAAGGAGGUAUGUUUUCAGAACCAUACUAAAGAGUUGAGAAGAGAAAAGGUUAAGAAAACAUUUUAAGGUAUAGUAAAAAAACGAUGCGUGUUUGAUUUUACAAAAAUUCGUUACCGUUUGUUCCAACGUUUCAAAUAAAAUUUUAGAUUCAGUUAAAAGAUAAAGAUAAUCUUCAUAAGACUACAGGCAAGAAAAGGAAUAUUAAAAGAAAAUAUUAAAAAAAUAUUGGAAUCACCUGAAGCUUGGUCAAGUCAAGAGGAAAGAUAGACAAUAUAGGAUUUCGUUUAAUUUCUUCCUCAACCCAUUCAAAAGAUAAAAGUAACUUUGAAGGUGUUGUAUCUGCUUCCGGUCGUAUAGGAAUAUUAGAAACCAUGAAAGGCACGGAAUUGUUUGACAUAUGCGUAGAGUCAAAAGAUAAUUUUUUUUUCUGAAGGCUGCCAUGUUUUAAAACAGUAGCCACUGCAGCAAGCUGUUCAACUAAUGGAUUGGCUUUGUUACGGUCAACGGAUGAAGAUGAAGGUAUUAAAAAAUUGUUAUUUUUUUUACUAUAAAAUAAAUAAAAUUAAAAAAAAACGCGUUAUGUUACAAAAAAGGUAUGAAAAAAAAAAACAAUUAAAAAAAAAAAAAUCUUGCCUUUGAUUUGAAGACAUGAAGCCUUUUGUAUAGUAAAGAGUUAGGGGUUUUUUCCAAAUGAAUGGAACGGGACGAUUUUCUGCUUUUUGGUGUUCCUCCAUAAGAAGACAUAAUUGUGAUCCAGCUAAAGAAUCUACCUCUUGUCCAUCUCUCCCGACUUUAACGGAUUUAUUAUCAUUGUGUGUAUUAAUUAAAUGCUCACAAUGUUUAAAAAAAAAUUCACAUCUUUAAAAGAAGAAAAAGAAACUACAUGAAGGAAAGAAGAGAAGGAGUGAGUUACCUGACUAACCAAUGAAUGGAGAACAUUUUACCAGGAAAGUCCGUUCCAUCAGGUGAACAAAAAACAGGGCGUCCUUCACAAGAAGAUUCGCCAGGACUUGACAUGAUGGUAGUUUCAGAAAUAAAACAAACUCGCUUGAAAAAAGAACUCACAUGGAUGUCAUAAGAGCGAAACCAGAGAAACGAGAGCUGUGAUUGACUGAGAAGAAAAGAACAACAAAAGACGAACUCUAUGAAAAAUAAAAGUUGAUCAGAAAAGAUUUGGAACAAUGUUAGAAUCCCGUACAUCAAAAGCAUUAUGUAAUAAUCUUUCAUUUUUGGGAGAUGUUGCCCACACUCCAUGUUGGCUUGAUACUGGAAAAAAAAAAUUUUAAGGUUUACUUUUAUAACAUUAAACAAAAAUACCAAUGAGUUCCGUUGUGAGAACGAGAAAGAUCAUCUUAUUGAAAAAAUUUGUUUUACAUACGCACAAAAUCUUAUUAAUUAGCAGACCUUUUUCUGUACGCAAUAGGUUUCCAAAGGAGAACC